rnacentral:misc_RNA from 1 species
AGGAAAGGUUUGUCAAGUUGCCUCACAGGGUCAGGAAUGUAUUCAUCCACGGCAUCCAUUAACUUCAAGAUGGCUUUUUUCCCAAUUUCUUCAUUUGUUCCUUGUAGAGCAGACAAUGCUGAUCCCUGAAUGAUAGGAAUUUCAUCUCCAGGAAACUUGUAGAAAUUAAGCAGUUGAAGUUCCAUUUCCACAAGCUCUAACAACUCUGGAUCAUCAACGGCAUCAACUUU